rnacentral:rRNA from 2 species
GUAGUGACUGCGGAGGAUCAUUA